rnacentral:misc_RNA from 1 species
UUACAGCCCGACCUGAAUGGAGCUCUUUUUUAUUGUUUUCUGAGCUUGCCGAAGAUGACAAUAAAAAAAGCGGGAAUGGAGGGCGGAAAAAGC